CCAGCCCCUAGAGGCGUUGCAUCAUGACUGCAUGUGUCGUGUGUGUGUCAUUAGGUGGCGGAGAGAAAUGGGCUGUAUCUGCGCUCGGUGUCCCAGACAAGUGGGUGCUCAGAAUGAUUGAUGGCCUGACAAA
ensembl:snoRNA SNORA17B small nucleolar RNA, H/ACA box 17B